UACGAAGGGGGCUAGCGUUGUUCGGAAUUACUGGGCGUAAAGCGCGCGCAGGUGGUCUUUCAAGUCAGUGGUGAAAGCCCGGAGCUCAACUCCGGAAAUGCCAUUGAAACUGUAAGACUUGAGGAUGAGAGAGGUGAGUGGAAUUCCCAGUGUAGAGGUGAAAUUCGUAGAUAUUCGGAAGAACACCAGUGGCGAAGGCGGCUCACUGGCCCGGUACUGACGCUGAGAUACGAAAGCGUGGGGAGCAAACAGG
rnacentral:rRNA from 1 species